UUGACCAGGCUGGUCUUGAACUCCUGGCCUCAAGCCAUCCUCCCACCUCAGCCUCCCAAAGUGCUGGGAUUACAUGCAUGAGCCACCACAUCCAGCCUCCCUAAAAUAUUGAAUGCUGUUAAUAAAUCUCCUAAGAAGGUGAUGGGCAAAACUAAUGCAGGUCAUCCUCCGAAUGAAUUUAUAUUACCGAGUGGAGGGUCACAUGAAGAAAAUGGUCAAACAGCACCACCUACAGCAAGAGCUGAGAAGUGCAGCGGAGCCGGGCUGAGUCAGGAAAGAAAAGCAAGCUGGGGCCUGGCUCAGAGCUCUCCCCUCUGCUCCUGUCUGCACGGAAAGAUUAGGAUGACAGUGGCAGGAAGCCUGUGCACCUAGUAUGCAUCACUUGAAGGGAACACACAGAUUCCAGUAAACAGUUGGAAGGAAAUGUUAAUACCAGGCUCUGCUAAACAAUAUGAAAUGACUCCUAGAUGAGACAAGUGACUUUCAUCAAAGUUUCCUGAUACCUGAAAAGAUAGCCCAGGUGAUCCUGCACUACAUCUGCUGUAUGUAAAUUAAGCGGGUUUUUUUCCCCUUUGUAAUCAAGGCUCAUACACAAACAAAAUCACACUUUAGAAACGGCUUAUUUCAACUUGUAACUAGCUUGCUUUCAGGGGCUCCAGGUCAAAAAGAAAUAGAGCACAAAGACGCUUUCUCCUUAGGGAUCAUACACAAAUUCACUCUGUCCGUUUCUUUCCCACAUGGAGCAACAAAGCCAUCAGACCUCUCCAUCCACCCAUCGGGUCCUUCCUGAUUAAAGUGAGAUAAAUCACAGCCCUCUCUCUCCAGAUGGCAGGCGACAAGAGGGGGAUGCUUGCCUCAAGAAGUCCUCCCCAUCCCUCUGCAUUCAUGCAAGCCCGAGCGGAGAGAUGCAAGAAAUUAUGGAUGCAUUUUAAUUGCCCAGACCCUGCAAUUAAAAAUGGAAAUUUUUUGGCCACGCGUGUUGGCUCACGCCUGUAAUCCCAGCACUUUCGGAGGCCGAGGUCGGCGGAUCAUUUGGGGUCAGGAGUUCGAGACCAGCCUGGCCAACAUGGUGAAACCCUGUCUCUACUGAAAAUACAAAAAUUAGCUAGGAAUGGUGGUGGGAGCCUGUCGUCCCAGCUACUCGGGAGGAUGAGGCAGGAGAAUCACUUGAACCCGGGAGGCAAAGUUUGCAGUGAGCCAAGAUCGCACCACUGCACUCCACUCUGGGUGACAAAGCAAGACUUCAUCUCAAAAAAUGUUUUUUAAAAAUGGAAGUGUUGUUCUUUCAUUUGUAAAUGUGUUUUGGUAAAAGAGGGGCAGUUUAAGCAACCCUUUUUUGUUGUCUACAUUGUUAAAAUUCAUCAGACAUGGACUCUUGACUCCGUUUUGCCUGGGCAGACCCAAUUCAAGCAUUUACAACAGCUAUAACUUCCUCAAAUCAAAAAGAGGAAUCAGCAUUAUUGCUAAGUUCAAAUAAGGUCUUGUUUUAUUUCAUUUUUAUUUUUGAAUGCAGCCAUUCCUCCAGGUGCUAUCAUCAGGUAAGAUUGUCAGUCCUGAUUAGGUAAAGGUAUUAUUACAAAAUGCAAUUCUUAAAAAUUCAGUGUCUAACUACACUUUUAAUAAGCCUUUCCCCCUCCCCUAUGUAUUCUCCCUUAGACACCCCUUCUCAAAUUUAAAAUCACAGAAACUAAAAUAUGAUGCCUAAAGAGAGCCUAGCAACUGCCCAGUCCUCUAAUUUGAUGAGUGGGAGUACUGAAGCCCAGAGGAGGUCAAGUAAUUUGUUCCCAAUGUCUUAGAUAAGAAGAAAAUGACCAGCUGGGAAAUCCCACUCAUGUCAAGGCAGAGGCACAGGGCCACAGACUGUGGUUGAAUUGUGCCACACUCCUACAUCCUUCUUUAGGAAUCACAGAACAUUCCUGUGUUGAGUUGGAGUCACUGACUUCCUUUUCAGGCUGAUUGAGUUCUGUCCUUACAGGCUGCGACAAGAAGUUUUGGUAUUAUGCUACACCAAGACCAUUUAUCUAGUUCAAGAAAUGAGCACAGUCCUUAGAGCCCAGCAACUUUCCCCAUGUCCAGUAAAUGUAGCUUCUCCAUUAGAAGCUGUCAGAAUGGAGCCUUCUGGCUCAUCUUGAUUUUGAUUUGUGCAAGAAUGAAUGGUUGUGCUAAGACAGCUUUCCUAGCUGAUAGUGAGCAAAACUUUUUUCUCAUAAUCUAUAAAAAAAUAUUAAAUUAGAAGCACAGAGUUUAUUUCAUGACUUUUAUCUUCCUGCAAUUUUCUUAUGGGCAUAAAUGAUUUGUUUUUAUCCUGCCUGCCCCCCCAAUCCCUUUUCCAAGAGACUAAAAGAGUAUCUAGUGCAAAGUAGAUACUCAAAUAUUUUUUAAUAAACAGUGAUCCCAGCCACCCAGUGCAUGUUGCCAAAUGCCAACCCCAUAAAUGAUCAAACACAUCAUCUCAUUCAGCCAAUCAAAAUCAAGUGCUACCUAUUUUUUUAAGUUUUCAUAGCCCUUGGGCAUCUGCUUUCUCAGCAUUUCCCAAACUUGAGUCAUUCUCAUCCUGCCUUCAUAAUUUUGCUCUGUCAAUUACCUCUACUAUUAUUUAUUUCAUAUAUUUUUAAAUAGCCCCACUUUUGAAACUUAAAUACAUGCCUUUUAAAAGGAAGCUUUCUUACUACUAUACAUCAAAAGCCAUUAUUACUUGUUCUAAGUACUCAUAACAACAUAUUCACAACUAUUAAAAUUUAGUAAUGUGCAUCCACAUACUCUCUAAAUUCAUGGAGCAUCUGCACACACUUUAAGAAACAAUUCUGCAUUACUCACUCAAUUUUCUUGACAUCCUUCUGAGGCAGGACAAACCUUGGGCCCAAAGAAUUGAGGUAGGAGUCCAAGCAAGUUGCCAGCCACAUAAAGGCAAACCUUGGCUCGGAAGUCAGGACCUAGGUUAUGGUUCAUGCUCUUUCCUCUGCUCUCCAGAACCUCCUAUCUCCAAGUGUAGUUAGCAGCCCAGAUGCAGCAGCAUCCCCUAGAGACUUGUUAAAAAUGCAGAAGCUCAGGCUCCACCCCAGGCCUAUGCAGACUGAAUCUGCAUUUUAACAAGGUCCAGGUAAUUCACGUGCACAUUAAGUUUGAAAAGGCCUGGUCUAGAUCAGCAGUUCUCUAACUUAGCAGCACAUUAGAACCAUCUGUAGAGACUUUAAAAAUACCAGUGCCUGGGCUUCAUCUCCCGGAGAAUCUGAUUUAAGUGUCUGGGGUUUGCCCUGAGUCUAGGUAUUUUUUAGAACUCCUCAGCUUAUACAAAGCUGGCAGGGCCGGGCACAGUGGCUCAUGCCUAUAAUCCCAGCACUUCGUGAGGCCAAAGUGGGCAGAUUGCUUGAGUCCAGGAGUUUGAGACUAGCCCGGGCUAAAACCCCAUCCCUACAAAAAAAAAAAUACAAAAAGUAGUUGGGCAUGGUGGUGGCACAUACCUGUAGUCCCGGCUACUCAGGAGGCUGAGUCCUCGCUUGAACCCAGGAGGUCACGGUCUGGUCAACAGAGCAAGACCCUGUAUCAAAACAAACAAACAAAAAAUGCUAGCAGCUUACCAGCUAGGGAGGCCUGUACAGCCAAGUUUUCCAAAUGGGGCUACAUUAGUUGUUCCAGAACUUUAGCUGCAUCAAAACCACCUGGAUGGCUUGUUCAGCUACAGAGGGUCUGGCCAUGCCCCUAGAGUUUCCAGCUGAGGGUCUGGAAUGAGGCCCGAUGAUUUGCAUUUCUAACAAUCUCCAGGCGAUGCUAAUGCUGUGGGUCCAGGGACCACAUUUUGAGAAUCUAUGCUAAAUGAACCGGACAAGAUCAAAGCUCAAACUUAUUCCAAGAACUUUUCAAGGCCCACCUGCAAGUUGUAGUGGAAGUAAGCAUCUAAGGGUGCAAAAAAGUUUCACUGUAGACUAAGGCCUUUUACCUGAGCUCUCAAAUGUUCACAUUUCUCUUAUCAACCUAAAUAACAAACAGAGAGAGGCUCUCCACAAGAAAAAGAUAUUCGUUUGGAAACAGAGCCUUGCAAUAGAAAUAGGCAAGCCAGAGUAAACUAUAUGCAUAUUCACGGAGGUAAAGGAAGACAAAAGAAAAAAUGAGGAAGAUUAUAUGAUCAUUUGGAAAUGAUUAUCCUUGGCUACAAAGAUCAAUAACAAAGGUGAUGCCAGGCCCAGGUUGGACAGGCAGUUGUUGGACAAAUAUCCUUCAGAAGCAUUGUUGUGUGCAAAGUUGCGAUGGGCUUUGUGCAAGAUUGUGUUUUUUGCAGUCUUCUGUGAUAAGUUUUUGUUAUCAGGCAUACAAGCCCAAGAAUCCUUUUUUGCAUGGCCUUCCCUGGCUCUAUUUGUCAGGGUUUUGGUUAGGGGAGGGGUAUUUUUAACACUCUCAAUGUAAAAAAUGCCAUAAGGUAGGUACCCCAAUUGCUUGUUUCGUCUUCAUAAAAUAACUUUUCCACCCGAACAAAGUCUACACAUAAAUUGUAAAAAUACCCUGGCAUGCAGUCCCUGGAAAAGUUUGGAGUCAUUCUCGGGGUUCCCACCCAGGUGGGCGAGUGUAGCCACCACAGAUAAACACAAAGUAGGGGUGCCCGCUGGGGUUUGGUGGCAGGCAGUGGCCCUGGUUGGUAUAUUUGGCUGAAAACACAGCUCCUCUUUGUCACCCUCAGGAAGCCAUCCCAAACCGCUCGAGGAGUCCUUGAAGCCAAUGUUACCACUAGGGCAGCAAGUUUGCCUGAAAGCUAUUUGCCUUUGCAGCAGAUUCAUUAAGCCAGAACAAAGAGAAGACCAAUGACUAAAAGAUUUCUCUCCUUUUAAAAAUCAUGCUCUUUAACUCAUAGCACAUUUUCAUUGUCCAUCUGGGCAAAGCCGCUGUCUCAUUUUGCUUUUUCCCUCGUCUGUGAUGCUCACACUCAUCCUCCCUAUCCCAUCAGCAACCUCUCUAGUAUGUUUGAUAUGUGUCCUUAAACUUUAUAUCUUGGCCGGGGGCGCGGUGGCUGUAAUCUCAGCACUUUGGGAGAUGGAGGUGGGUCUAUCACUUGAGCCCAGGAGUUUGAGAUCAGCCUGAGCAACAUAGUAAGAUUUCAUCUUUACUAAAAAUAAAAAACAAAAAAAAUUUAGCGAGGUAUGGUGGCCU
rnacentral:lncRNA from 10 species